rnacentral:rRNA from 1 species
GACGGGGGGGGCAAGUGUUCUUCGGAAUGACUGGGCGUAAAGGGCGCGUAGGCGGCGUGACAAGUCACUUGUGAAAUCUCCGGGCUUAACCCGGAGCGGCCAAGUGAUACUGUCGUGCUAGAGUGCGGAAGGGGCUACUGGAAUUCUCGGUGUAGCGGUGAAAUGCGUAGAUAUCGAGAGGAACACCUGCGGCGAAGGCGGGUAGCUGGGCCGACACUGACGCUGAGGCGCGAAAGCCAGGGGAGCGAACGGG